GAUGAACGCUGGCGGUAUGCCUAACACAUGCAAGUCGUACGAGAGUUUUUAACUCUAGUGGCGGACGGGUGAGUAACACGUGAGAAUUUGCCUUUAGGAGGGGGAUAACAAUUGGAAACGAAUGCUAAUACCCCAUAUGCUUUUGAGUGAAAUGGAUUUUAUCCGCCUAGAGAGAAGCUCGCGGCUGAUUAGCUUGUUGGUAAGGUAAGAGCUUACCAAGGCGACGAUCAGUAUCUGGUUUGAGAGGACGAUCAGACACACUGGAACUGAGACACGGUCCAGACUCCUACGGGAGGCAGCAGUGGGGAAUUUUCCGCAAAUGGGCGAAAGCCUGACGGAGCAAUACCGCGUGAGGGAAGACUGCCUAUGGGUUGUAAAACCUCUUUUUUCAGGGAGGAAUAAAAUGACGUGUACCUGAAGAAUAAGCAUCGGCUAACUCCGUG
rnacentral:rRNA from 1 species